UAAAAUGAUAACAAUAUUAUUUACUUAUGAACUAUGGUAGAAAUUAAAAUGAAGAUUUUUUAUGCAAAUUUCAGUAUGCUUGCGGUGUGUAUCCUAACAACAUGUUAUCAGAAAGGAAAGAUUCAAAAAAUUCAACGAAAAUACCUCAGAUGUUUAAGUUAGUGACGAAUUAUGCUCUUGUUGUAACUAAUAAAUCUAUGAAUUAAUGGUACUAAUAGGCUACUUAUAAAGAUUGAAGUGACUCAAUAUGGCAAGACCUCUCUAUAGGUACAAUUCUCGGUGCCCAAUUUGGUAUAUUGCAUUGUCUAGCACAAUUUGACCGUGCAAAUAUCCCACUUUAGCACUUGAGCUUCCCUUCAUAGAUUCGUAUCACGUUGAAAUGCGGUCGUUGUCUUUAUUCCUAAGGGCAAGCACUACAGAAAAAGUGUGAAGGUCACCCCUUGGGGGAAAAAAAUACGCUCGAGGCCAGCAUAAGCGUUGGCACCCAAAGCAAACAAAGAGAGCUCGCACCGAGCAAGCAACAACAACUCGCAUCGGACAAGCAAUGAGUGCUGGCAUACAGGCUAGAACAAUCAAUGCUCUAUUUACACUACGGUGGGAGAUUCAUAAAAGAAAUGUUUGAAACGCAAAAGCGCGGAAGUCCCUCGUGCUUACCAUCAUUACGCAACGCUUACAGCCAAAUAUUACAACGCAAGUCCUCAAGAAUACUAGCCCUCCAGAAUAAUAGAAUUGGGGGGCAGGAAAAGCUUAUUCUCAACUGUUUUCCAGAGUUGCCAAAUAAUACAAUGAAUCAGACACUCAAGAAGUUCUUCUCCUUCAAGCUCUCAACAGUAUCCUUCAAACUCACCUCCACAGAAGUGAAGCUAAGGCCUAAACUUUGUGCUCUCUCCUUAGACACUUUGUAGGUUGUUGGAAAAGGCUUGUCAUCUGCACAUCUGCAAUGUACAAAACGCAAAUCAAUUGUCGCAACUGGUAGCUGAGGUGAGUUAUAACACAGACUAUCCAAUUAACAAGUCACAGAUUCAAACUAGAAUUUUGGUGCUUGAGAUAUAAACACAAAAAUCGUUUGUAACAGACCAAGGAAAUCAAGCCAUGCAGAAAAUUAUAACCUACCUGUUUGUUGUAUGAACAUAUACAGUGAAUCUUCAAUGGCUACACCAGUGUGAAUGGAAAAUUGACUUUUGUGUG